GGUGGGAUUGCCGAGCGGUCAAAGGCGGCAGACUGUAAAUCUGCUCUCUCCGAGUUCGAUGGUUCGAAUCCAUCUCCCACCACCA
rnacentral:tRNA from 1 species